AUUGACGCAUCUUGUGGAACAAGGUGGAUCAAGACGUGGUAAAUCAGCUUAAGUGCCUCGUCUAUAAACAAACCUCGUGAAUUGCUGGAAAGUCUUUCAUGACUUGUUGGCUACAACGUGACUGGAAACGGUGAGCGUGAAUGCUUAAAAACAACAAGUGGAAAAAGAUAAUCAGCAGCCAAGCACCUGUCAAAUGGUGAAGGUUCAACGACCAUCGAAAACAUGCCGAAGUUUGGUAGAAGUGAGUAGAGUAGGAUUCAAGCGAAUCCGAAGUGCGAGGACACUUUUUAUAAAAAGUGUAAGAUAUGGUCUGAACUCUAUGGUGACAUAGAG
rnacentral:ncRNA from 1 species